rnacentral:rRNA from 1 species
AGUGAACGCUGGCGGUAUGCCUAACACAUGCAAGUCGAACGGGAGCACAGUAAGAACUUGCUCGUAGGUGUGUCGAGUGGCGGACGGUGGGUGAAGAAAUCGGAAUCUACUUUGUCGGGGGUGAUAACAUAGGGAAACGUACUCGAAUACCGCAUUCGACCUACUUGGGAAAGCACGGGAUCUUUUGACCUGGCGCGAGGGAAUAAGCCGAUGUCGGAUUAGCUAGUUGGCUGGGUAAAGGCCCACCAAGGCGACGAUCCGUAGCUGGUAUGAGAGGAUGAUCAGCCACACUGGAACUGAGACACGGUCCAGACUCCUACGGGAGGCAGCAGUGGGGAAUAUUGGACAAUGGGCGAAAGCCUGAUCCAGCCAUACCGCGUGGGUCAAGAAGGCCUUCGGGUUGUAAAGCCAUUUUGUUGGGAAAGAAAAGCAGCACGUUAAUACGCCGCUGUUCUGACGGUACCCAAAGAAUAAGCACCGGCUAACUUCGUG